CUAUUGAAAAGAUUGCAAACGUAUUUGUGGCAAAUUGAUUUUUGUUGAACAAAGUCCAACCGUCCGUGCCUUUGUAUUCCUUUUCUUUUAAAGUUUGCCGCCCAAAAUAAGCAUGUCGGCACCUUAAUGAUUUCGAAGUUCAUUUGUAUUCCCAAAAUAAAUACCAAGCUUUGUUCAACACCAUUUCUGCACACUAUUUUAUCACAAGGCUUUUGGUUUUCCAACUUCAUAUCUUCAUAGAUCAAAACCCACAACCAUCUCGACUACCACACUGACCUCAAGACCUUCCUCCUUCACUCACCCUCCUCCCUCGUUCCUCACACCGGCGAUCACACCACCCAGACUUCAUCUCGUUCGACACACCUCUCUAUCUUGCACUCUCUCUGAUUCGAUAACAACCCACCGGAGUCGAAGUGUACGCCAGAGUAAUCGUAAUCGAGACACCGUCGAAGUAACCAAGUUCGCCGGAGAAACCCGAAGACACGAGCACGUCGUCAGACUUUUCGCCGGAGAUCGGAGACACUGCCGGAGACGUCGUAGUUCACGAUGGAGUAUAGCUCGAUUCAUGUUCGGAUGAUCGCUUUGCUCGUUCUCUUGGAAUUCUCUAUCUUUACUCGUGCGUUAUUACGAGGAAUUCUUAUAUGCAACCAAUGUUGAUGAUGAUGAUGCUAUGAAAAGAAGUAGCGUUGAUGCCUAGAUACACAUUUAGACGUUUAGGUUUAAUAUGUUGUAUCAAUUUUGCUUGUGUUGUCAUGUACUUCUUUGAAACUUGUUGUAUUUGAAUUUCUUGUAAUGUUGACAAUUUACUUUAUGAAAUGAAAUCGGAUUAUUAAAA